AGUGAACGCUGGCGGUAGGCCUAACACAUGCAAGUCGAACGGCAGCACAGUAAGAGCUUGCUCUUACGGGUGGCGAGUGGCGGACGGGUGAGGAAUACAUCGGAAUCUACUUUUUCGUGGGGGAUAACGUAGGGAAACUUACGCUAAUACCGCAUACGACCUACGGGUGAAAGCAGGGGAUCUUCGUACCUUGCGCGAUUGAAUGAGCCGAUGUCGGAUUAGCUAGUUGGCGGGGUAAAGGCCCACCAAGGCGACGAUCCGUAGCUGGUCUGAGAGGAUGAUCAGCCACACUGGAACUGAGAAACGGGCCAGACUACUACGGGAGGCAGCAGUGGGGAAUAUUGGACAAUGGGCGCAAGACUGAUCCAGCCAUACCGCGUGGGUGAAGAAGGCCUUCGGGUUGUAAAGCCCUUUUGUUGGGAAAGAAAAGCAGCAGGUUAAUACCCCGCUGUUCUGACGGUACCCAAAGAAUAAGCACCGGCUAACUUCGUG
rnacentral:rRNA from 1 species